rnacentral:rRNA from 1 species
AUUGAACGCUGGCGGCAGGCCUAACACAUGCAAGUCGAGCGAGCGGCGGACGGGUGAGUAAUGUAUGGGGAACUGCCCGAUGGAGGGGGAUAACUACUGGAAACGGUAGCUAAUACCGCAUACCAUCGGAUGUGCCCAGAUGGGAUUAGCUAGUAGGUGGGGUAAAGGCUCACCUAGGCGACGAUCCCUAGCUGGUCUGAGAGGAUGACCAGCCACACUGGAACUGAGACACGGUCCAGACUCCUACGGGAGGCAGCAGUGGGGAAUAUUGCACAAUGGGCGCAAGCCUGAUACAGCCAUGCCGCGUGUAUGAAGAAGGCCUUCGGGUUGUAAAGUACUUUCAGCGGGGAGGCGUUACUCGCAGAAGAAGCACCGGCUAACUCCGUGCCAGCAGCCGCGGUAAUAC